UACGGGGGGGAGCAAGCGUUGUUCGGAUUUACUGGGCGUAAAGGGCGCGUAGGCGGUCGUGACAAGUCACUUGUGAAAUCUCCGGGCUUAACUCGGAACGGUCAAGUGAUACUGUCGGACUAGAGUACAGAAGGGGCAACUGGAAUUCUCGGUGUAGCGGUGAAAUGCGUAGAUAUCGAGAGGAACACCUGCGGCGAAGGCGGGUAGCUGGGCCGACACUGACGCUGAGGCGCGAAAGCUAGGGGAGCGAACGGG
rnacentral:rRNA from 1 species